rnacentral:snRNA from 1 species
GUGCUUGCUGUGUGAGCACAUACCCUGAAACUGGUAGCAUGUAGGAAAGGUUAGCCUGGCCCCCAUGAAAGCAUGACAUACAAAUUUCUGAAGCAUCAAUUUUUU